UGACUGGUUUUACUAAAAACCACUGAAUGUUUUUCUUUCAAUUUUAG
rfam:Schistosoma curassoni strain Dakar, Senegal genome assembly, scaffold: SCTD_scaffold0002575